rnacentral:lncRNA from 13 species
UUACUAGCAUUGAACACAGAUAGCUAAAAAUGCUUUUUGUGCCUUCCUAAGUGGCCUUUCUAUUUUAUGCAGCUUGUAUUAAAUUAUUAAACUGAGAUGAGCAAUUUAUUAGCAUUUUCUACUGCCUUCACUUUUCAGUUCCGAAAGGAGGAUGGGUAGAAGCAGAAAUAGGAAACAGCAGAAAUCAGACAACACCAUCUGACAAGAACUUUUGUAGAUGUAAACAUCAGAUCUGUGAACAUGAACUCUGGUAAGACUGCAUACUGAUCUGAAAUUCCCAUAUUGAGGUUUCCAGGGGAAGGUUUUG